UAGAAAGAAACAAGUCAAACUAUUCAUUCAAUCUCCUCCAUCGUCUCAGUAAAACUUCCCCAUAUCAUUCAAUCUGCGUGUCUUAGGGAAGUAUUUUCUUUCACUCUCUACACUUAGCCGCGACAACAAACAAAACUGUAUUACCCCUUCUCUUUCUGAGAAUAAUUACUAUCGUCUUCUUCUUCUAGUAGACAAUGUUUACUUCCUUCUCGUUCAUCUCAAGCACAUGGUCUCUUGCAUCACUCAACGCGCCCUGCACCAAAAGAUACAUUAGAACAAACCAGACAAACCCAGACGGAGGGUAGAACCCAUUGAGAUGAUAGGGAUUGUUCAGAAGACCUGGCCGAAUUUGGUAAGGAAGUUGUUUGCAAGGUUUAUCGAGGCUAUCUUCACGUCUUCGUUGG
rnacentral:lncRNA from 1 species